rnacentral:rRNA from 1 species
ACGAACGCUUGCGGGUGCUAAGAAAAUGCAAGUCGAGCGGGGUGUAGCAAUACACCUAGCGGCGAACGGUCGCGUAACACGUAACCAACUGCCUCAAAGACCGGGACAACAGAGGGAAACCUCUGCUAAUACCGGAGUGUGGGCCACCGGAUGGCAUCUUCUGGUGAUUAAACCGAGCAAUCGGUUUGAGAGGGGGUUGCGGCCUAUCAGCUAGUUGGUGGGGUAACGGCCUACCAAGGCGACGACGGGUAACUGGUCUGAAGGACGAUCAGCCGGACUGGGACUGAGAUACGGCCCAGACUCCUACGGGGGGCAGCAAUUAGGAAUCUUGCGCAAUGGGCGAAAGCCUGACGCAGCGACGCCGCGUGAGGGAGGAAGUCCUUCGGGAUGUAAACCUCUUUUGUCUGGGAAGAAAAAAAUGACGGUACCAGGCGAAUAAGCCCCGGCUAACUACGUGCCAGCAGCCGCGGUAAUACGUAGGGGGCGAGCGUUGUCCGAAGUUACUGGGCGUAAAGCGCGCGUAGGCGGGUUGCUAAGUGAGAAGUGAAAGGCUGAGGCUCAACCUCAUGCAGUGCUUCUCAUACUGGCAGUCUUGAGGGAGGCAGAGAGAAGUGGAAUGGCUGGUGUAGCGGUGAAAUGCGUAGAUUCAGUCGGAACACCCGUGGCGAAGGCGGCUUCUUGGGCCUUCUCCUGACGCUGAGGCGCGAAAAGCCAAGGGGAGCGAACGGGAUUAGAUACCCCGGGU